rnacentral:lncRNA from 1 species
GGAGCUGUUCCUAUUCGGCCAUCUUGGCUCCUCCCGAGCACUUAUUUUCAAGGAGUCAUCAUUUAAAAUCUUAUUUUCUUAAUAAGAACACAUACUCCUUAAGAAGACAUACUUUUUUUGUACCCUUGUCUCUCUCAUUUAUUCCUUCUCCCUCUAUUCAUAAUUGACAUUAAUUGAACAUUCUUUGUUUUAUUAAUCUAUAUAAAAACAAUGUCACAUUUCAAGUGUUUAUCAUGUAAGCAAUGUUAUAUCGACUUAACGUGGUAGGCAGAAUAAUAGACCUUCAAUGAUGAUGGCCCUAUCCUAAUCUCUGGAACCUAUGAAAAUGCUAUCUUCGUGGCAAAGGGGACUUUGCAAGUGUGAUCAAGUUAAGGACUUUGAGGUAAAAGGUCAUUAAUUAGGAGAAGAUUUAUCUCAAGGAAACGUAUGAUCUGUGGGUAGUGUGGUCAAAGAUGACUUCUGCAGAUAAAAACAUCAUCUUGUAUGCAAGAAUGGCAAAAAGAUAGAUGAAGAUGGAGAAAUGUGCACCUAACACUGCAUCUUUAUGAGCAAAGGAUUUUCUUUGGAAAAACUGUGAUUAUAUGAAAAUCAUAGGACAUUUUAUUUGUGACUACAGGGCGUGGUGAAAACCUCUGCUACCAUACUGGAUACAAGGUCUUUAACUUCUCAGCACCAGUUUUAUGGAGCCCCCACCGCUAAGCAAGUAUGCAAAAUGCAGUGCUGCUUCGCAUUGGGAAAUCCCCAAUCUGGUGCCAAGAGGUUCAUAAAUACAGUAAUGGACCCUCUUAUGUCAAAAGUGAGUACUGUUUAACAGCGUAAGUUGGAACAGCCUUCAGGAUGCUUUGCAGCUGCAGUUGUUCCACUGCAAGACAUCACAAACUUCAUGAUGAUGGUUGUCACACCAGGUCCUGGAAAGGCAACCUACUUCAGUCUGCAAAGUGAACUAAAAGGGAAUGGUUGUUCAUACAUGGCCCUGAUGCCACUGACAUAAGAAACGCAAUGACAAGAGCGAUGAAGUAGGAAUUUGGUGGCAGAUGGUCAGGUCUGCAGGAAGUGUCCACCCAGCUUUGUUUGGCCCAUAUUCUGAAACAACUAGAAUAAACACUUAGUGUCAUAAUUUAUAAGCAUAUCAGUACCAAUAAAUCAGAAUCAUGCAAACAGUCAUGUUUAUUAUAUUCUUGUUGCUUAAUAUUCAUGACAGUAAUUUAUUUUUAUAGUACAGUUUUACUGUUCUCUCCACCAUUGCUCUCUGCAUUUAAGGCUGGCAAGUUGUACUAGCAGAAGUUCAGGUAACCCUUUGAAGACUGCAAAAUUCAUUAGCCUGGUCAAAAGACUUGAUUUGCUCAUUUAAUUUUUCCCUUUUUCUCUCAUAAACUUUUAAGCCACUGAGAUGAAAUUUCUGGAAACUAAGUAGUAAUAAUACUUCUUCGACAUGUAGAAAAUGUGAAUACUAGAGUCCACCUAGUCCUCUGGUAGUAGCUGUAUAACAGAGCUCAGAAGGCAGAUAGGAACAUUUGGAGAGAUGUAAACAGUUAAUUCUUGAAUUUACUGUCAACAAAAUGGAUUGAAUUAAGCAUUGUUUCCAUCUCUGCCAUUCACCUUCUCGCCACCCUCUUCCUUCUGAUUCCCCAUUUCAGUAGUUUGAGAUCAUUGCUCCUAACUACUAUGGAUUGUUCUAGGAGGAAUUACUUGAAACAACCACCACAAAGCACAUUGUUUUAAAAAUUCAUUUAGUGCCGGAACUACAAAGAUCAGUAAGAAAUGUCUCCUACUCCAGAGAAGUUUAUGUCAGAUAAACAGACAUAAAACGAUAUUUUCGUUGGUCUGUACCUAGACAAGAGACAAUUUAUACCCAGUUUUGUGUAUUUAACUCAGUAGAGAAAAUUUACAAUUAAUUGCCAGAAAAAGGAGUCACAAACAUACAAGCCUGGGAAACAAAUUUUAUUUUAAAAUGUCCCAACUAAAAAUACUCUUACAAUACUAUUAAGAUCUGUGGUCUUAUUCUGUAAGUUUGCUGUGUUUUAACAAAGACGUUAAACAUUUUUUAAAAAGUGGAAUACCACUGAAUGUGAGUAGACAUAGUAUUUUAAUUAUAAUUGAGCUCUUUUUAUUAUGGGUAUGGAGGGUUGAAAUAAUGAAUUUAUAGACUCCAUGAAAAUACUUUUCUGGCACAUGACAUGAGGGAUGAAGUGACACUUUGCUGCAGUUUCACCUUUUAAUUAAAUAACACAUAUGAUGAAAGUUCUAAGAAAUUUUAUAAUGUUAUUUCCUAAUUCACUUGCCGGGGAUUGUAAUAAGGACAUAGUGCCUUCUUUCUACCUUUAAGCAUUUGGAAUAUGGGAGCUUGAUUGUUGUUGUUUUCUUCUAGUGAUGCAUUUUGCACAGAAUAGGUGCUCUUAGCUAACAUUCCUAAAAGAUAAAUUAAAUGUUUGUUACAAAUAAAUUUACAUAUCCUUUAGCCUUCUCCAUCUGCUAGGUGUGUUUGAAUUUCACUGGUGCUUAUUUUACUUUUAAAAAUUUUUCCAGUGACCCAGGCACAAGAAUGAGUACCUGUAAUGUUGCCUUGGAUACAGAAAGCAAUUAAAAAUGUUGAAUUUGUUUUAAAUUGAAUAGUCAAGAUGGAAGUCUUAAGUAAACAAUGAGGUUUUGAGUACGUGUAUGAGCAGAGAAAAUUCAUUUGUGUCCUGUUUGGUUUCCUCCCAUUGUAGUUUUUAACAACAUAAAGUCUUUAUCUGAACUACAUCUGAAUCUACUAAUUAUCUCAUUUCUAAAUAGACACUUGUAAUCAUUUUUUUUCAAAUUAGUCAAAAACUACAGUUGUGUGGUUAAGAGUAACAGCUUUGGAAUCUUCCAGUUAUGGGUUCGAAUUCUAGCUCUGCAAAUUCCCAGCUGGUAGCCUUAGGAAGGCUACUUAAUAUUGAUUAGUCUAAAUUUCCCAAAUGGAAACAAUAGGAAGAAUAAUAGUAACCACAAAGGAGUAUUAUAAAAAUAAACUUAAAUAGUGAAAUGUACACAUAGCAAUUGGCUAUAUGUAAGUAAAAGUAUGGUAAGUAUACUAGAAAUUAGAAUUGUAAUCAUAUGGACAGUUAUGGGGUUUAUUUAAAUUCCCACUAGUCUAAUAGUUUAUAGUAUUAGUGAUUCAAAUUCUUUCUAAAUGUUGUCCAAAUGUCUAGAGAACUUCACUUUGUAAAUUUGGAAUGUCUCUUCUCUGAGUUUUUUUUUUUUUUUAAUA